AGCGAACGCUGGCGGCAGGCCUAACACAUGCAAGUCGAACGAACUCUUCGGAGUUAGUGGCGGACGGGUGAGUAACACGUGGGAACGUGCCUUUUGGUUCGGAAUAACUCAGGGAAACUUGUGCUAAUACCGAAUGUGCCCUUCGGGGGAAAGGUUUAUCGCCAUUAGAGCGGCCCGCGUCUGAUUAGCUAGUUGGUGAGGUAACGGCUCACCAAGGCGACGAUCAGUAGCUGGUCUGAGAGGAUGACCAGCCACACUGGGACUGAGACACGGCCCAGACUCCUACGGGAGGCAGCAGUGGGGAAUCUUGCGCAAUGGGCGAAAGCCUGACGCAGCCAUGCCGCGUGAAUGAUGAAGGUCUUAGGAUUGUAAAAUUCUUUCACCGGGGACGAUAAUGACGGUACCCGGAGAAGAAGCCCCGGCUAACUUCGUG
rnacentral:rRNA from 1 species